CCUACGGGAGGCAGCAGUAGGGAAUCUUCCACAAUGGACGAAAGUCUGAUGGAGCAACGCCGCGUGAGUGAAGAAGGGUUUCGGCUCGUAAAGCUCUGUUGGUAGUGAAGAAAGAUAGAGGUAGUAACUCGCCUUUAUUUGACGGUAAUUACUUAGAAAGUCACGGCUAACUACGUGCCAGCAGCCGCUGUAAUACGUAGGUGGCAAGCGUUGACCGGAUUUAUUAGGCGGAAGGCGAGUGCAGGCGGUUCAAUAAGUCUGAUGUGAAAGCCUGCGGCUCAACCGGAGAAUUGCAUCAGAAACUGGUGGACUUGAGUGCAGAAGAGGAGAGUGGAACUCCAUGUGUAGCGGUGGAAUGCGUAGAUAUAUGGCAGAACACCAGUGGCGAAGGCAGCUCUCUGGUCUGCGACUGACGCUGAGGCUCGAAAGCAUGGGUAGCGAACAGGAUUAGAUACCCCUGUAGUC
rnacentral:rRNA from 1 species